rnacentral:lncRNA from 1 species
AUCAUCAUCCCUUCUUGUCCUACGUGGGUAAGAUUGUAUAGCAACCAAGGUGAAUCAAUUGGUUGUGUUUUGGAGCCGUUUGGAUUGGUUGUUGGUAGAGAAAGGUACGUUGGACUGAGCCUGAAAAACCACCGUUUGAAGAUCCUUUUGAGAGAGCUUCCGCAACAAUUGGUAUCAGAGCUUCAAGGUAAAGGUUUUGGCUCGUGAAAUCUACCAGAAAUCGUCUAGAAAAUAGGAAGAAACGCAGUAGAAAUCAGAUCGAAGAAGCUGUCCAAAAACUGUUUAAAUCAGUCUCCGUUUUUCAUGUUUUUUGAUCAAUCCAGAGGAGUUUGGGGAAACAGAGACAACUGGCGUAACGUGCAGGAGGAGGGGAACCCUGCAGGCUGGCGCGUGGUGGAAGACGACGGCGCGUGUGGUGGCGCGUGAGGCCCACGCGCAGAGAAGAGAGGCCGCGCGUGAGGGCGCUUUUCUGUUUCAGGCUACGCAGAAGAAUCUGGACAGCGUUGUUGUUUGGGCGUUCGGGACUCGAUAGUGAUUUUUUGGUUGCUGCAGUUUCCAGAGACUUUAGGAUGAACAGUGAUAAUUCUAAAGUGGUGAAUUCGCAUGUCUCGAUAUUUACGGACCUUCAGACAUGGUCCGCUCGAUAUCGUGUUCUUUACUUUUUAUUAUUGCAGUUAAAAUUAAUGUGUACGUUAAUUAUUUAUUUUUCGCAUUAGAAGUCAUCGUGUGGGGUGACAUUAGGUUUGGGGUAACCAUUGCUUGUUGCUAGACCUAGGAAUUACAUGUUAAUUAUCUUAAAAUUCUAUGUGAAUUUAUCACCAAUUUUUCUACACUGAUAGAAUUGCAUGUGACCUUAGGAAAAUUUACUUGACUGUUCUGUGUGAAUUAUGUGUCACUACUUUGCUUGUGGUCAUUAUUUGGUAUUAUUGGCAUGUAUAGGUUUAAGACAAAUGCGAAAAAUAAUAUAUAUUUUAACUGUGUUGAAAUUUGGACAUAAUUGAAAGAGAUUGUCCAGGAUGAUAAUAAAAGGAAAGAUGAGGAUAGAGACAAGGCGAAUAUGACUUUAGGAUCGAGUAGUGAUCCUAAUGAGGUUUAUUAAGAGAAUAAACUUGGUUUUUGCAUUGCAUUUGUGUGUGAUCCUUUCUGCAUGUGUGUGAUUGUCUAAAUUUUGUUGCAUGAUUAUCUGCUACAUUUCAAUGUGUUUGAUAUGUGCAUUUGCAUGAAUUUGAGACAUUAGGAUUACUUGGUGUAAUUGCUUGCAUGCAGAGUGGGUUAGGAUGCAUUAGCAGUGUUGUGUGUCUUUUGGUGAGGUGGAGUAUAGAUGCCUAAGGGUACAUGGUGGUUUGUACCGAGGGAUGUAGAGUGUGACAUUUGGAUCACGAGUGGAGAUGUGAUCAAAUGUCUAGGAUCCUUUAUCUGGAAAGAGACCCUGAUCAGGUGGAGUGUGAGAGAGACACUUCUAUCACUUCUAUUAGGUGGAGACCCAUUAUCCAGGUAGGUUGGGAGAAGUGAUGUGGAGAUAGAGGAUUAUCCCGUGGACUUAGGAUCUAUUGUGACUCACCAGUUAGACAUGAGUUGAGUAAUCUGUCUAGUGAGCGUGGUGGGCGAUGAGAGGAGAUAUGUGUUCUCGAGGUGUGAGCAACACGGAAUGGGAUAGGAUAAGUGUGGUGAGAUCUUUUCUUAGGGUCAUUUAUGCAUGUGUUGCAUAUGUGGUUGACCGUGGUUUGAUUGACUUGGUGUUAAUCUAUGGUUCUAUGUGAACAUGUUUCUGAAAAGAUCUGUGUGUGUUAUCCUAUAGUAUAUCGUCAUCGCAUGUGUAUUUGCUCUUGAUUAUUUACUGUUAAAUAUUUGCUUCUAAUUGGGUGUUUUUUGACCUUAGCCCAAGUGAGUACAUGGAGCAGGUAUGGUAUGUGUUUCAAGUUGGAAACACGAGGUAAGGUCUGUGAUCCAAUUUUAUUGGCUACCUUGAUUAUGCAAGUGUUAACUGUGUGGUUUGAUUGCUUGCAGAUUUAUUGGGCAUCAAGGUGGAGAUUUGUUGGGUUUUUUGAUACCCAAUAAAUCACGGACUAUGAUGUUAACGUGGGUUAAUAUUAUUUCAUAGGUAUAGGCCGAUGAAUGAAAUAAGUCCAACAACCAAAUCCAUGAGCUACACCCGGCCCAAUUGUAUUCCUUAUGGAUGGCUUGAAUCUUGGCCCGUUUACCCCUUUAAUGGCCCAACUUAAAGUCUAACCUUAGAGUAUAUAUAUGAAUAUAACCCUAGCCUCUUUGAUAUGAUGAUUGUGUGAUUUUGAGAGAAGAAACUAGAGAAUCCCGGCUGCCCCCCUUUGUGUGAGAAAAAAGGUAUCCAGAAGUGUCCAGAACGCUGGUAUAACGUGUGCAAUUGGUGAUUCUUUCAUAGUAUACCUUUGUGGUGUCUUCUCCUAACCUUUGUGGCCAUAAAUCAUCAUCCCUUCUUGUCCUACGUGGGUAAGAUUGUAUAGCAACCAAGGUGAAUCAAUUGGUUGUGGUUUGAAGCCGUUUGGAUUGGUUGUUGGUAGAGAAAGGUACGUUGGACUGAGCCUGGAAAACCACCGUUUGAAGAUCCUUUUGAGAGAACUUCCACAACAUACUCAUUUUCAAUAAGUUAUUUUGGAGUGUUAACAUAUAAAGUUGAGUAUUCACUUGAAUAUUGGCUAAUCUUCUAAAAGGUGUUCCAUGGGUCAUUUUGGAGAGUUAAGAAAUAAAGAGAAUAUUAUUUUUUCAUUUUAAAAGUUAUUCCAUCUCCAAGUUUCCAAUAAAAGUGGCAUUAGAGCGAUUUAUAAGAUUGUGGAGAUAAGAGAUGACAAACAACAAUUAUCUUUCCGUUCCUCGACUCGCUGAUGAUAAUUUUAGUACAUGGCAUAUUCGUAUCAAAGCAUAUGUUGAAGUCAAAAUUUGUGGACUUGGUAGAGAGGUUUUGAAACUUAAAAUGAAGAAGCCGUGUUUUAAAGAUAAACAGAUUUGCAACAAGCAAUUAAGAUGAAGAAUCAAACGGCUGUUAGCACAAUACAUCAAGAUCUCGAUGAUACAAUUUUUCAUAGGAUGUAAAAUGCUACCAUUCAAAGCACGCAUGUGGGAUUUUUCAAAAGACAUACAAAUGUUCAAACAAAACUAAAAAAAGUUCGACUUCAAUCUUUGAGAGGAAAACAUGAAGCUCUAUCCAUGAAAGAAACUGAAUCAAUUUCAAAUUACUCAUCACGAAAAUUGGUGAUUAUCAAUGAGAUGAAAAGGCAUGGUAAAGAAGUAAAUGAUCUUCAGUGAUAUUAAAAAAAAAAAACAAAAAAACAAAAACAAAAAAAAUUGAUUAUUACAUGUAAAAUUUGUUUUCCAUUGCAGUGGCUGUAGAAGAAUAAGAGUUGGAAGAAAUGACUAUUGAUGAAGUUGGGAGUAAACUAAAAGCUUACAAGGAAAAGGUGUUGAAAAAAAAGGAAAGAACGUGUAAGAAGAAUAAUAUGAACCAAAGAGGCAGAAAACAUGGAAGAGGUCAUCGAAGUGGAGAUAGAAAUUCUCAACAUUCAUCCAAUAAUGAAGGAAAUUGUCAAUAUUCAUAUAAUUCAAGAGACCAGGAAGACAAUCUUAAAAAAGAAGAAGAAAAAUAAUGGUUGAAGAUAUGAUAAAUCUCAAAUUGAAUGAUAUAAUUUUCACAAGCUUAUUCAUUUCUUAUGUUAGUGCAGGAGUAGCAAUAUGGUGGAGCAAUCCAGCUACGAUGAAAAUAAAGAUAGGAAAAUGAAUUUCACUCUUGAAAAUACAAGGUAAAAGAGGCAAUAAUUCUUGGUACUUGUACAGCUAAGCAAGUAAUCAUAUGUGUGGAGACCAAUCUAUCUUUAUGGAAGCUAAAGAACUAAAUGACCAUGUUACAUUUGGAAAUGAUUCCAAGCUGCAAGUCGAGGAUAAAAGUAAAUUUCUCAUCCAAAUGAGGAAUGAAGAACAAUAAAUAUUCAGUGUUUACUAUAUUCAUUUUAUGAAAACAGUUCAAAUCAUAGAGAACCAGAUAAUCUUGUGAAUAUUCAAAGUUGAGAAGUAAAGCGUUUGCACGCAUAGGUCAAAGAUUCAACAUAUCUAUGACAUUUGAAACUUGGCAAUUUAAGUUUUGACAGUCUAGACAUCUUUACAAAGUGAAAUAUGGUGAAGGGGCCAUAACAUAUUUAUCGUCCAAAUCAACUUUGCAAAGAGUCUAUGAAAAGAAAUCAAAAGAAGCAAGUUUUUGAACAUCGAGACUACUAAAUUAGUGCAUACGGAUCUCUAUAGAUCGGUUCAGCCUGUAUAAUUUGAUUAAAGUAAUUACUUCAUGUUAUUUAUUCAUGACUUUUCUCGUAAAAUAUUAGGUCAUUUUCUUAGAGAAAAGUUUGAUGCAAUUGAAGCUUACAAGAAUUUCAAGGCGAUGUUGAAUAAUCAAAGUGGUCACGGGAUCAAAACCUUAUGUUCAUAUCGUGGUUGUGAAGAUAUUAGCAACACAUUCAAGAAUUUUUCUUUAGAUCAUGGCAUUUUAUCAUUUGUUGAUGUUCACAUCUUCUAAACAAGUGGCAUAGUAGAGAAAAGAAUAUGACUAUCGUGAAAAUGACUCAAAGUAUACGAAAACUAAGAAGAUGCCAAAGAUGCCAAAAAUGUUCUUGAAUGAAAUUGCAAAAAAGUGGGAAAAAUGACUCAUCAAGAAGCAUGGAGGGAAUUCAAGCAAAGUAUAUUACAUCUUCAAGUUUUCAAUAGCAUUGCUUUAUCUCAUAUUUUGAAAGAAAAGGACAAAACUAGAUGACAAGAGAAGGGGGUCUGCUGGAAACCCUCGCCUUCGGCUCCAUACUCAUCAGGCCGGCCGGAAUGGAAAUAUAUCUUAAUAUACUAUGAUUCAAGAUCAAAAGACUACAAGCUCUACAACACAAUAAAUAAGAAGGUAUUCACAAGUAGAGAUGUUGAGUUCGACGUUGAAAUUGGGCAAGAAAAUUAUUAUUUCUUCAAGAACUUGAAAGGCUUACCACUGGAUCAAAGGCAAAGCACUUCUAGGAUUGGCUCCUUCUUUGCCACAGCGAAUAUGUCGAUUUGUAUCAAUAGUGGUCCAUCUCGCUUUUUCUCAUGCUUGAAACAACUUAUUCUUCUUCGAACUCGGAUGCCCCCUAAUGGCAGUAUAACUCUUUUUUUUUUUUUUUUUUUAACUCAUCCCCAAUGAAUGGCGUUCUAAAGCUCUCAAUCAAGCAAAGACUUCCUAUACCAUACUAAAGCUAAAUCAGUGUGGACAUAAAUUGGGACAGACCGUCAAUGAUCUUAGUUAAACCAAUUAGGAAACGAUUUUCUCUUUUCCAUUAAGUAGGAUACGCGACAUUGGAUAAGGAAAAAGAAGUCGAGAACAAAGUGAUGUGAUUCCACCUUAAUUAAUACCAUCAGCUCUACCUCCAAGAUAUAUCUUCAUCUUCAACAUCCUCAUGUAAAAUACAUCAUUUUAGAAGUUUUCAAGAUAUUUUAAUGAUACUGAAGUGUUAUCUCAACAUCUUAAGGAAUUAACAUUAUUUUGUCUAUUUGGCCAUCAUGUGAUUAUUGGUUUCGAUGAUGCUAUACGAAAUAAUUAAUGUAGAAAGCCAUGAACAAAGAGAUCGAAGCUAUUAAGAAUAAUGAUACUUGGGAGUUAGCCACGCAACCUACUGGCCAUUAGGGGUGAACACGACUCGAUUUGGACGAUUUGUGCUAUAUUUUCAACUCAAACCAUUUUAUGCGUUUUAAAUUUUUCGAACCAAACCAAACCAUAAUUUGCAGUUUGGUUCGUUUUUAAUCUGCGGUUUAUCUAUCGACAUUAUAGUAAUAUAUUUAAUAUAAGUUAACAUAUAAGUUUAAACGAGAACUAACAAUGUUAAAUGUUAAAUUACAUUCAUAUUUACCAUGAAAUCCAUGAAUAAAUUAUUUUCAAAGUUUGUUGCUAAAAGAUGUUAAUAGAACAAAUACAUAUUUUUUUAUUUUUAUUUAUUUUUUCUUGUUUGACAUUCAUAUUGUCAUAUAGUGAUUAGUAAAGGUAGAGUUACAUUCUGCUAUUAUGGUUUGGUUAAAAUCCUUUCGUCUUAUUAGUGAAAUGUUAAAUAAGGAUUGAAGGGGAGAUAUUUAGAUGUACAAAGAUUGAUAGAGUUUCGACUUAUUGGGAAUUUACAAAUUUAAUUCUCCAACUACUUUGUGAAAGUAGAAAAUAAUAGUAUUAUUUAGAAAACUUUAACAUUUUCACACAAUCAAUAGGAUCCGUCCCUCGUUCUUUUCAAACUACAAACAGGUUCAUUAACACUUAGGCACACAAACAGUUAUUUUUCUAUCCAAACCACAAUUUACAAGUGUAUAAUAAGUUCAAAAACAACAAAUAAAAAAAAGGAACACCAAAAAAAUGGCUUGAAUGAGAAUCUGCGAUUUACCAAAAAGAGAAAAGAAAAAGACAUGAUUCAGGUAGAUAUUAGCAGAUUAGCAGGCAAAGAUGACUGAAAAUUCGUUUAGUAGUAGCAGACAAGCGUCAAAUGUUAAAGAAAUGAGAAUUUAUAUUAGGGUUUUUGAAGCUUUGGACAUGAGUUGCUAACGUAGUUUUGUUAAAUUAUGAUUUGGAUUACUGACAUAUUUUGGAAUAAUUUUAGUUUAAUUUAUAUAUAAGAUGAGAACAUGUGUUGUGAACUUGUCAAACCAUAGGUUAAUAAUGAUGAAACUAAUUUAUUUUCUAUAAGUAUUUUAAUAGGUUGGUUGUAAUUUGUAUUGCUAAAUUGGUUUUUUUUUUUUAAGUAAAAACUGUAAUAUUUUUAAGUUAAUAAAAUUAAUGUUUUAAUUAAAAAAGUUUUAAAACAAUUCGGUUCGAUUUUGAGCGAUUUUUGAAAAUCAAAACCUAAACAAAACCAUUUUGAAACGAUUAGAUUCGGUUUGAGGGAAAAAAAAACCACGGGUCCACGUGGACCAAAACCAACGAUUUCAGUUUGGUUUGCGGUUUCACGAUUUUUUUUGUGCAGCCCUACUAGCCAUAAGUCAAUUGGAGUCACGGAUUUUUUAGGAUAAAAAGAAUCUAAAUGGUGAAAUCGAAUUCUACAAGGUAAAUGUUUGUAGCUAAAAGCUACAAUAUGGAACAUGAUGUGAAUUAUGACAAAUAUUUGCACCAGUAGCUCUUUUCAAAAUAAUAAGACCUAUCAUUUUCAUGGUAGCAUAAAAUGGCUGUUCAAACGAAAUUUUUGAAUGAAUUUCUACAAUAAAAAAUAUACAUACUACAACCUCAUGGGCAUGUUGUGAAGGGCACUAAGACAAGGUUUCGAAGUUGAAGAGAGCCUUUUAUAGUUUAGAGCAAGUCUCAAGGGCUUAGAAAAGACUCAAUAAAUUUCUUCAAGUGAAUGGAUUUAUUUUUUGAGACAAUUGGAAACUAGUUGCUAACAAGUUCUUAAUUACCCUAGCUAUUUAACAUGUAAUUUUUAUUUUACCUUUACGAACUAAAGACUUUGCUAAAAUUGAUAACAUUAUUCCAAAAUGGAAUUGAGUUAUUUAUGAGAAUUAGAUGCAAUCAAAAGUAUAAAGAGAUAACAAAAAUCGAAAUUACAAAAAGAAAUUUUUCGAAUUGACUGUUUAGAUGGGUAACUGAAAAGAGAAUUCAAGUUUUAAUUUAAUAUUCAAAAUCAAUCAUCUUACUACAAAACUUAUACAAAACUCUUAGCUAGACUUUCAAAGCAAAAUAAUCUAUAGAAAAUUUAUCUAUUUUGAUUAAAUUCCUAAUAAAAAUAUAGUUCCUAUUAGAAAUAAAAUGAUAAAAGACUAAUUAAUUAACAGUAACAAAAAUUAAACAAUAAAAUAUGAUAUUAAACGGGAUCCACUUGUACCAUUCACCUCCUCGAAUCUUUCGCCGAUUAUCUAAAACUUUAUAGGGACAGUGAUUUAAUUGAUACGUAAAUGACAUAGAUAUUAUCCCAAAUAUCUUGAUUCUAAAAAUCUUGAAAAACUUGAGCAACUAAUAGAAUUUUUUCAUUUCUACCCAUUUUAUCCCUAAGAAUUCAACCAAAACUUCAAGUUAUUGCACUACAAAAUUUUGGAAUUUCCAAAUGUUUCAAGAAGUGUAUUUGAUCCUAUGACUUGCUCAACCAUGUGGCCCUCUACUACAACGGACCAUUUAAGUGUGCAAAAUAUUUCAUUUACAUCAUCAUUUCAUUGUCACCAACUACCAUAAUUUUAUGAUGGUCAUCCCUUGACAUUAAGAAAUGAUUUUCAAAAUAAGUUUGUUGAUCCAUAUUGAGUUUCUCUUUCUCAAACUUCUUCUAGAGAAUUUCGACAUCAGUUCUUCGUCAAAGAUUGAUCAAUUUGUGUCAGACUCAAUCUCAACAUCCGUACAACAAUAUAAACCGUUGUCCCUGUGGCGAUUGCUCGCCAAUCCCAUAACCAAGGUCGGCCCCUCAAUUGCCAAAACAGUAUCCAUCAUUGAAUUUUCCAUUUGCAAACCUAUCCACGAUAGGCUUGCGACUAAACCCAUCAUUGCACCAGCCUCAUACAGUCAUAACACACACAUCGUGACCACUACCUCAAGCCUCUUGCCCAUCGCCAUAAAGGUUACCCACCAUAACCAAUGUGGCCACCUUCCGUGCUACGACUUCAAGAUGUUAGAGAUUUGUAUUAGUUUAUGCCUAUGGUUUCCAUUAUCAAUCAUGGCACAACAACGGCUAACUUGUCCUCAUCGAUACAUUGUUAGAAGCAUAGACUAGGCAAUAAUACCGACUGAUGCUGGUGGAAGCUAGAGGAUAACAAAUACGAGAUUAAAAAGAAAAAUGUGUGUACGAAUUAACCAUUUAGGUGAAUAACUUUCUAUUCACAUUCAAACUAACCAUCCGACAACACAAUUAUAACACCAAAUUACUCCUAAGUAGACAUUUAAGCAAAACAAAUUCUAGAAAACUUAUUUAUUUUGAUUAAACUCCUAAUCCUAAUAAAAAUCCUACUAAACAUAAAAUGAUAAAAGACUGAAAAAUUAAAGUAAAAAAAUAAAAAAUCUUAAAUUAAAUGGGAUUAUUUGCAUCAUAGAUUUAAUUGCCAACAUGAGGGUAAAUACAAUAAAAACAUAAACCUACAUUUAAUGAUCUGGAAAUAAUCUUGUUUGCACUAUUUAAUCUUAUAUGGUAAUGUUUAAAAUUGACUGCAUUAAUCGAUGCAGAAGCCUUAUUCAUCUUUAUUUUCUUGUUAUGAUUUCAGUAUAUAAAGUGCAAACACAAACUACAAAUUUAAAGUCGAAUUGUCUAUAAAUCGUCUGAUCUCACUUGAAGUUGGAGAGAUGGUUGCCCUAAUUUGCUCGAGUUCUCUUAUUGCCUUCUAUGCCGUUUAGUUAGUUCCAUGACGCUGCAGAAUAUAACAUGGGGAACAAUGUUUUCAACGAAUUAAACUAGGGGAAGGCAAAAUAAAAGUCUAAUACAUUUUAUAAAUAGAAUAGCAUGUUUGGUAUCGGAGAGACAACUCAAUUGCGUGACUUAUUGCAUGUUUUGUAAUGAAUACGAAACUCAACAGUAUGGCUUUAUUUUUUCCACUUCAGUACAUACAUUCAACCAUAGUAAAUUCUAGAAGGUUCAUUGAAAAUGCAUGCAGUUUCAUUUUUUUUUUGUUUAAGAUUGUUAAGAAUUCGAAUCUAUAUGUACACCUGGAUGUCCCAACUAGGCCAGAACCUAUUUACCACCCUUAUCAUCUAUCGAUCCACAACAUUUUAUUAGUAAUAUCAAAAAGAAUAGUAAUCAUAAUGGACGCAGUAGAAUUAAACUUAACCGGCUAUAUCUCACUUUUCAGUUUUUCCUUUCAGGUGCCAGCAAGAACUAUAGCCACCUUAUUUAUACUUGUACGAGUAUGAAGAACUUAAUACCACUUUGGAACGUCAGAAUAUAUAAUAAUAAACCAUUAAAGCUAUUAGAUAACAUAAAUUAAUUAGGUGUUUUCAUAGAUGUUGAUUACUACUUCCAGAUUCUCGUAUAAGGAUUUUUCAUUACAUAUGUAAAUGUGACGCCAACUUCAGAAAUUUCAAUAGGUCUAUGUCUUGUUUAAGCAAUAGAAGCAACCAGUGUAACUGUUAAAGAUGAUAUCUGAUUGAAUAGUAAACCAAUGGAUUUUUUAACCAAUCCAACCUGGUGCAAGCCAGAAUUAGUAUUUUCUAGUCGAAGCUACAAGGCAUUCACCAAUUUCAUAAUUAUGGGCAGCUAAAUACUUCAACUUAAGACAUUUGCAGGACAUGACACCAUUUUAUACCACAUUAUUUUUAAACUUUUAAUAUAUGAAUGGUGUACUCUCUUGAUAAAACAAUAUUGGAUAGGAAAACAACUAAUUUCUCACAUGUUGAAGAUACAAACCUUGGACACAAAGCACAGAAACCAAGCCAUCUCUUACUGAGGGCGCUAUUGCAGGACGUGACACCAUUUUAUACCACAUUAUUUUUAAACUUUUAAUAUAUGAACGGUGUACUUUCUCGAUAAAACAAUAUUGGAUAGGAAAACAACUAAUUUCUCACAUGUUCAAGGUACAAACAUUGGACACAAAGCACAGAAACCAAGCCAUCUCUCACUGAGGGCGCUAUUGCACUCAUGACUUGUACUACCCGCAGUCCCACAUUGACUCUCAAAAUGAACAUAUUCAAUAGCAUUCACCGACUAUUGAAGAUCAAUAGAUUUGCUGAAAACAACACAAGAUACUAGAAUACUUUCAGUUUUGUGCCAUCCUUGUUUUCACAUUUUCCUGCAUGAUCAUCGUUGUUUCAACUCUACAUCAUCCCCUGCCCCAAUAUCUUCACCAAAAGCUACUUUACAAACGCAAAUAGGAGAAAAACAUGUGAUAUAUAUGAUAUAUCAGUGUACCAUUCGCCCCUAGCUUUGUUCGAUCCUUUGUAUCACACUUCUAGAUUAUUUGCAUCCAUAUUGGAGCUAAAUUUUCUACCUAAUAAUUUCCAUUACUGCCCAUUUAAUUCGUACCUUCUCUUAAGAACGUUCUCUCUAAUCAUUUUUCCUGUUUUUUUUGUCUAUUAAUAUCUUUAGUUUUCAAUACAAAUCUAGCUAUGUGAUUGACAACUCAGUAGCCAAAGGCGUCAAAGCUUCGUCCCCAGUGGCAUGUUGUGUGUGUGUUCAAGAGAGAGAAGAUCAAGAGAAGAAAAUAGAAUACCUUGAGCUAGAACAAUGGAAGAAUUUUCCAGUGGCAGAAAAAACAAUUAGAGCAAUCUCAGCAUCACAAAGAGUAGAGAGUUCUUGAGCCUUCUUAAAAACCCCUCUUCUUAUUCUUCUCUUUGAAAAGGUCACUUGGCGUGCAGUCAAGUUAUCAACUUCUUGAUCUGAAUAUUCUGUUUCACCAUUUUCACAGUACACUCACUGCAAACAGAUGAUAUGUAUAUCUCGUCAGUUACCAUAAGAAAUAUAAAGAGAUCGAGGGACGAGAAAGAAGUCAAAGAACUUUGGUCUUUGAUAGAAAUAAGGAAAAAAGAAGCAAAGCAUGUCUUCAAUACAAUACAGAAUCUGAAACCACGACCAAAAAAUAAAAAUAAAAAAAAACGAAAAAAAAAAAUUGGAAAUCAGAGCCAUGAGACGGNNNNNNNNNNNNNNNNNNNNNNNNNNNNNNNNNNNNNNNNNNNNNNNNNNNNNNNNNNNNNNNNNNNNNNNNNNNNNNNNNNNNNNNNNNNNNNNNNNNNNNNNNNNNNNNNNNNNNNNNNNNNNNNNNNNNUUAGGAGGAUCUAUCUAUAUAUCUAUAAAAAUAUACAUAUUUAUAUACAUGUAUAAAUAUAAAUAGAAAAGUAAGAGGUAGUCAGUUAGAAGAAUCAUUCAGUUUUUUUUUUUUUUUUUUUGCAUAAAAUAGAAAGCUUUAACAAUGUAACAUUUUCUAAUUCAGGGAAGAGAUUGCGACCUCCACCUGCAGAACAGAAACCCUAGAGAGAGAAAGUAGAAAGCAUCUGAUAUUAGAAAGCGAGCUGAAGUAGAGGAGAAAAUAUCAAUAAAGUUGGUUUGCAAAUUGCCAAAGGAGAAAGGGGAUCAUAUUCAUUGAAAGCGAAUUUGCACUUUUGUCUCCAACGUUUGAAAGUGUAACAAACGUACCUAAACUUUUUUUAGCAUUAAUCAUCCCAAUAUUUCAAUUUGUAAAUACAUUAUACAUCAUUCCCUCCAUAUUGGCCAUUAAAUGACGAAUUUGUCUUUUUAAAAUAAAUUAAAAAAAUUAUUAAACAACAAAAAAUAAGAGAAAUUAAAAUAAAUCCCAUAACUUUUAAAAAGUACAAAUAAAUUUCAUUUAGAAUAAUUAAAUACUUAUUAAUACAAAAAAAAAAAUUAGAAAAAAUAUAAUUUACCCCUGCCAAGCUCACCCAACCUAGUCCAUCAACACCCACAUCACUCUAUCACACACAUCGUAGUCCACCCCUACUUGCAAUCAAAUUUGUCUUCCUUUAAUUUAGAACUAAGGCAUGCUCUUAGUUGUUAUAUUUUGUGACAGAACAUUUGUUCUUGAGCUAAGAUAUUAUAGAUUAAACCCUAUAUGAUCCACGUUAUUUGGAAAAAUAUAUUUUUAAAUAAUGAUUUGACGUCAUUUCAAUCACACAUUUUUCAACAAAAUAAUGUUACAAGUAAAUUCAAUACAUUUUCUUAUUUUUAAUCAUAUAUUUUACAUCAUUACACAUAUUCAAAAGUGCAUAUUUUAUGAAAAUAAUGUGAUUCAAACAAGUGCUAAAUUUAAAAUAUGCAAAUAUAUAUAUUUUUUAAGAGUUCAAAAGGUGAGAUGUUUUGACAUUGUAUCAAAGUAUUCAAAAGACCAUUUAAGCUUAAAUUUUACCUCCACUUAUUGAUUAACACUAAUAUGUUUUAACAUGCGCUUUAUAUAGAGUGGAAUAUAAGUAUACUGAAAAGCAGGUCGAAGUGCUUGUAGUUUACGGUUAGUUAGCUUGGGACAUUUAAUAGGUCAAGGGUGGGGGGCAACACUCCGAGAUACUAUACAGAAGUGUUUUUGAAUUUUUUUUUAAAUAUCUUAUAUGAGUCAGAGUUAAGAGUCUGCGCACGAAUGCGGGCAUGUUGUAACCCUAUUAUGUUCAUAUAAGAAUUAAUCUACUUGAACAAUUAAUAGUGAGUGAACGUGCGUUGCACGUUAAUUAGUUAAUGUUUAAAAUAAAUAUAUGUAAAUUUUAGAAAAAUUCAUUUAUAAAUUUGGAAGAUAUUGGUCAAUUCGUUGAAAUUGACUUAUUUUUUGUUAAUUUUCUCUGUAUAUUGUUUAUUUUUCAUAUGAAUAUUUGAAAAUUUGCAUAUAUUUGUACCAGUCAUUUUCCAGUAAAAAAGUUUUUGGGAAAUUUUUUAUGCGGAAUAUAUUUCUCUAUAUAGCUCAGCCUGAAAUAUGAUUUAACCUACUCAAGCUUUGCCCUUAAUCCAUGCUAUGAUUAUAAUAAUUAAAUAUCACCAUGAUAUACAAUAUAGCAAUAUCUACACUAUUGCAUUAAAAAUGAUUUUUCAUGUUUACAGGCACCAUGCAAAAUCCUAAAUUAUAGCUUAAAAUGUUAAAUGCAAGUUCGUGUAUCAACCUUGUUUCAAGGACCUGAUUUUAUUGUCAUUGGAGCUUGAUUGUAAGAUUGUAAAAACGUAAUUAGAACAUUAGAAAAUAAUAUAGAUAUGGGCAUAACUAUAAAUGGAGAAAACUUCUUCAAACUUUUUAAAGUUUAAUUAAAAAAAAUUUAAAUCAAACACAAAAUUAUUUAUAAUAUGAAGCAAAAAGAAAUUUUAAAACAAUUCUUCUUCUUCAAGAUUUCCACGGUUUCAUUGAUGCUUUCUUUAAGAGGGGUAAAUUCAAUGCCCAAGGUUUUUGCUUCUAGUUUGGAAUGGAAGAUUUGUUGAAAAGGCAUGGUCGGUAGUAUAGAAAAUGGAGAAAUUGUGUUUCUCUGUCAAAAGCAUGGCUUUACUUUGCUGAAAAAUCGUGAUUUCACAAAUUUUUUGUAAAAGAAAAUUAAAAUAAAAGAGUGAAAUCCGUACAAGACGAUGUAUAUGUUUGGCACAUGUCCAGCCAUUCAUUCACUCUUUUAUAUAUGUAGGAUAGUUGACAAUUUUUUAUUUGACAAAAUUUGAACAGUUGAUUUAAUAAAUUAUUUUUAAAUUUUUUUGAAAUAGGUGAAUAUGAUGAUAAUUGUCAGCUAUCAUUGUACAUAUAGCUUGAUUUUUCAUAUAAUAAGAUCAUAAUUGUUCGACUCCGGUGGAUGUAGGCCUAUUAUUGAACCACUUAAAUCUAUAUAUUUUUGCUCUUGUUCUCUCUUUGUUGAUUCCGUCAUUUUGUUAUUAUUAUUGCCACACAUAAUAGAACAAAUAAACAAAAAUUGUACCGUAUCUAACACUUAAAUUUUAAAUGAGGCGAUCCAACACAAAUUAUCCAAGUUUAUAAUUAUCUAAAUUCACGGGUUGGAGAAAAUUGUUAUUGUUAAUGAGGAGAAACCACAGAUACUAUUUAUCUGCCUACUUUUUCUUGAAAUAAGGGUCGAAACUGCUAAUUUAGAUUUUUCAUGUGAAUUUUUAAAAAAUGAUACAAAUGAAUCGUGCUUGUGAAAUUAUUAAUUCGUAAUAACUAAAUAAUAGUAAGAAUUUUGAUAUUUGAAUAUGAUUCAUCCUAGUAAUGAAGGUGGCACUAUUUAUGGAACACGUUAUUUUUCCAGUAAGGUUGGGACCAUUCCCUAUUGAAAUGACAAAAAGUUUGAAGGCCUCGAGUUAGAAGACUUUUAAGCACAAUGGAACUCAAUAAUUGUUAAUCUAUUGGAGUUUGGCACAAAUCAAUUCUCAAUCGAUUUAUUAAUACAGAUUGUUGACGUUUCAACAUUCGAACAUAAAUGAAGAAAUUACAAUAUUAAUAUUCUUAAACCAACUCCUAACAAUCACAAUUUAACUAUUUUAAUUUUCAACGAUGAAACUUUUUUUCUAAACCUCAAGGUUCAAUAUUAAGCCCAUGUUUGACAAUCAUCCUUUUCGAAAAAGAGUUUUGAAUAAUGAUUUUAGGAGAAUGUAUGAUAAAAAAUAAAAAAUAAAAAAAAUAAAAGAAGUUUUGAUUUACGUACAAAAUAUUUUAUUAUGUAAAUAUUUCAUUGGUAAUAUCGAAAAAAAGAGUUCAAAAAGUAUAGCUUCCAAACGGGGCUAUAUUUGAGUUCAUUAAACUUCAAACAAACAUUCGAAUUGUUUUUAAAAAUUUUAAGAUUGAUGUGCUCAAACAAAUUACCAUUGUGUGAAGCAUAUGUUAAGAGUAAUGCCUUACAUCACUAAAGAUGAAAUAGAUAACACAGUUUCUCAAGGCAUAACAAAAUUGACAUUCUAAAUGAAACCACGGACUUCUACAACUAUAGUAUGCUAAACAUUGCCUGCAAUUUCCUAUUUGUUAAAUUAGUAUGCUAAAAAUAAGCCUCCAUUUGGACGCCGUUAAUUCAAUCAGAAUUAAUUUUUUUCCAUCACAUCGGGUGGGGCUUACGUUGUAGCAUAUGAAUGAGUGGUUUAUUAUUUAUGUACCCUUUUCUAUUUGUACUCCCAUUUGUCAUAUUUCUUGGCAAAAUGGGUUUGAGUGUUACGAGUAAAAUAGGUAAAGGAGCAAAUAAAAGAUUGAAAAGAUACAACCUUUUGUCAAUCACAUGUCAAAAAGUAGGAAUAUUGAAUGCUGAAAUUACUGUACAAUGGUCAGCAAAAUUCAAAAAAUGAGGUUAAAAUGAGUAUCAAACAAGAGCUAAGUGUAAUAAGGACUCGCGAUAUAAAAUUUUUAUCUUCCCAAUUCAAUAGGAUGCAUCUAUGAACAUGUAAAGCUUCUGUGUAACAAGAAGGUAUUCAAGUUUUUUGAAAGAUAAAAAGGCAAUACAUCCUAGCAUAGAGAUUCAUUAUUCAUUUUUUAAAAGAGGCUUCCCAAGACAAAAAGACAAUACAUCCUAAUAUAGAAAUUCAAUUUUUUAAAGAGAUACAUUUUUAAGAUUGAUAAUGAAAUUAUUAUGCAACAAAAUCAAAGUAUGAAAAGUCACAAGGAACAGGUGUAAGUUACAAUUUAUGUCAUUUUUAGUCUUUUUGUAAUAUCGUUUAUAUUUUCAUAUAACUAAUUCAUGACCAAUAACUCAAAAUUCGAUGUCAAUUAAAUCGUUCCCAUCCUAAACGAAUUUUCUUGUUGAAUAUUCAAAGUGAACAAGUGGAGUGUUUGGAGGCAACACCUCAUACUCAAAUCGUGGUAGUGAAUAUAUUAGCAACACAUUCAAGAGUAUAUACAAAGAUCAUGGUAUUUAACAUUCUUUAAUAGCAAAGAGGAAGAGUAAGACUCAUAAAAAUGACUUGAAAUAUUUUGAAAACUAAGAAGAUGCAAAAGAAGUUCCAGGCUGAAGCUGCUCAAUGUGCCGUAUCUUUGUUGAAUCGCUGUCCCAUCGAAGUGUGCAAAAUGACUCCUAAAGAAGCAUGGAAUGAAUUCCAGCCAGGUGUAUCAUAUUUUUGGAUUUCUGAGAUAGUUGCUUCAUCUCGUGUUCUGAAAGAAAGGAUAAAACUAGAUGCAAGAGAGAAAUAUAUCUUAGUUGGCUAUGUUCAAGAUUCAAAAGGUAAUAAGCUAUACAACCCAAUGAAUAAGUAGGUGAUCACUAGUAGAGAUGUUGAGUUCAACGUUGGAAUUGGCAAAAUCAGCAAGAUUAUACGAUAAUUUUUCCUUUCAAUGAUGAUGAACAAGUUGUUGUGAUUCUGCCUCAACUAACACCAUCAAUUCCACCUACAAAUUAUGGUCAAGAUAUACGUUCAUCUUCAUCAUUUUCAUGUAAAAUACCACAUCAUUUUAGAAGUCUUUGGGAGAUUUAUGAUGAUGCAGAGGAGUUAUAUCAACAUCUAGGGAAAUUAACUUUGUUUUGUCUAUUUGACGAUCAUGCGGUUAUUGAUUUCAAUGACGCCAUUCUAGAUGAUAAAUGAAAGAAAGACAUGAAAGAAAUGAUUGUAAGUAAUUAAGAAGAAUGAUUAGGCAAUCUGAAACUAGUUGAGAAUGGACAAGAUAUUUAUUUGUUUGAGAGUGAAUUAGGAAAUUAAUUAGUAGGGACGGUGAUUUAACUGAUACGUCAAUGUCAAAGAUAUUAUCCAUAUAUCUUGAUUCUAGAGAUCGUGAAAAAAUUUGUGCAAUUAAUGAAAUUUAUCCCACUGUUUCCCAACAAAUUCACUGAAACAUUCAGAGUUGGUCCGUCACGAAAUUUUGGAAUUUCCAAAUGGUCCAAGUAUAUUUGAUCCUAUGACUUGUUCAACCAUGUGGCAUUCUACAGGAAACAGACCAUUUAAGUGUGAAAAUUAUUAUAUUUGCAUCAUUGUUGUUUCAGUUUUUCCAACUGCCAUAAUUUCAUGAUGGUUAUCUUUUGACAUUGAGAAUUGAUUCUCAAAAUCAGUAAGUUGAUCCAUAUCAAGUUUCUCGAGAAUCUUGACAUCAAUUCUUCCUCAAAGAUUUAUAAAUUUGUGUCCAACUCCAUCUUAACAUCCGUACAACAAUAUGAAUCAUUGUCCCCAUGGGCGUUGCUCGACAAUCUCAUAACCAACGUUAGCCCCUCAAUUAUUGGAACACUCUCAAUCUUUGAGUUUUCCAUUUGCAACAUAUCUACAGUCAGGCUCGUGACUAAACCCAUCAUUGCACCAGUCUCCCGCAGCCAUAACAUGCACGUCAUGGCCACCACCUCGUGCCUCUUGCCUAUCAUUGUCAUAAAGGUUACUCACCAUCUAUUAUGGAAAGAUAACCAAUCUGGCCACCUUUUGUGUCACGACCUCAAGAUAUUGACAAUUUGUGUAAACUCAUGUCUACAGUUCCCAUUAUCAACCAUGAAAACAAGACGUUUAGCUCGUCCUCCUUGAUCCAUUAUUAGAAGCAUAGACUAACUAUGAUAUCAACUAACACAUGCAAAAGCUUAAACGAUAGCAAAUAUGGGAUUAAAAAUGAAAAUUCGCGUACGAAUUAAUCAUUUAGGUGGAAAUUGAAGGAAAAUCUCAAACUUCCUAUUCAUGUUAAAAAUCAAUCAUCCUACAAUACAAUUAUAACACCAAAUUUAUGCAAAACUCCUUACUAGACUUUUAAGCAAAAGAAACUCAAGAAAAAUUACUUAUUUUGAUUAAACUCCUAAUCCUAAUAAAAUGAUAAAAGACUAAUUAAUUAUAAUAAUAAAAUUGAACAAUAUAAUCUUAAAUUAAACGGACUAUUUGCAUUAUAGAUUUAAUUGACCACAUGGAGGAAACAUAAAUCUACAUUUAAUGCGCUGGAAACAAUCUGUGUUCAAUAUUUAAACUCAUAUGGCAAUGUUUAAAAUUGAAUGCAUUAAUUUGAUUCUGAAGUCUUAUUUAUCUUUAUUUUCUGGUUAUAAUUACAGUAUAUGAAGCAUAAACACGAACAACAAUUUAAAGUUGAAUUGUUUAUAAAUGGUAUAUCUCACCUUAAGUUGGAGGGACGGUUGCCCUAAUUUGUUGGAGUUCUCUGAUUGCCUUCUAUGCCUUUCAAUUAGUUGCAUUAUGCUGCAGAAUAAUACAUGGCAGAUGAAAUCAAAAUCUAAUACUUCUAUAAAUAGAAUGCGAGUUUGCUACCAAAUACACAACUCAAAGUUACGACUUAAUGCAUGUUUUGUAAUCAAUACGAAAUUCAACAGUAUGACGAUUCUUUUUUCUUCAGUAAAUAUAUUCAACCAUACUAUACUCUAGAAGGUUAAUUUAAAAUGCACGGAGCUGUAGUUAUGUGUUUGCAUAAGACUGCUGAAAUUAUAGGAAUUUGUUGUACACCAGGAUGUUCCGACUAGGUCGACACCUCUUUACCACCCUCAUCGUCUACCGAUCCCCAACAUUUUAUUAGUAAUAUCAAAACAAAAGAGUACAUCAAAAUUGAAGCAAGUAGAACUAUAUAUUAGUUUCAGUUUUUUCCUUUCAAGUGCCAGCUAAGAAUUAUUAGGGACCUUGUGUGUUUACGAGUGUGAAAUAUUUUCCUAGUAUCACUAUGGAACAAUGGAAUAUAUAUAUUGUUUAAGCAUUUAAGCUAUUAGAUAACAUAAAUUAAUUAAGUGUUCUCGUAGAUUUUGAUAACUACUUGCAGAAAGAUUUUCCAUUCCACAUAUAGACGUUAGCAUGCUAAUGUUUGAAACUUCAAUAGGUCUACGUCUUGUAUAAGCAAUAGAAAAAACCAAUAUAGCUGAGAGAUAAUAUCUGAUUGAGUAAACCAAUGGAUUUUCUAGUGAAAGCUGAAAUCAGUACUUUCAUGUCGAAGGUGCGAGGCAUGCACAAAUUUCAUAAUUAUGGGCGGCUAAAGACUUCGACUUAAGAUAUUGGCAUGAUAUGGUACCAUUUUAAACCACAUUAUUUUAAAGCUUAAAGAUAUGUCGAAAGGAGUAUGUUCUCGAUAAGACAAUAUUGGAUAGGGAAAAACCUAAUAUCCCACGUGUUUAAGGUACAAAGCAUGAACCUUAGACCAAAACAAAAACAAAACAAAAAAAAAAACAAAAAAAAACAAAAAAAAAAAAAAGGAAAAACCAAGCCAUCUCUCAUAGAGGGCGCUAUUGCAUUCAUAACUUAUACUGCCCAGAGUCCCACAUUGACUCUCGAAAUGAACCUAUUCAAUAGCAUUCACCCACUAUUAAUGAUCAAAAGAUUUGUUGAAAACACCACUGAGCUACGAGAAUACUUUUUAUUUUGUUCCAUCCCUGUGUUCACAUUUUUCUAUAUGAUUAUUGUUGUUCAACUAUACAUUCUGCCCUGCCCCCUCCCCUUCAUCAGAAGCUAGUUUACAAAAGCACACUGGAGAAAAACAUUUGAUAUAUAUCAAUGUAUCCUUCGCCCCUAGUUUUGUUCGAUUCUUUGUAUAACACUUGUAGAUUAUUUGCAUCCAUAUCCGAGCUACAAUUCUCUACCGUAUAAUUUCCAUUACUGCCUAAUUAAUUCGUACCUUCUCAAAAGAAGUUUUCUGUGGUUUUAGCCCAUUAAAAUCUUUAGUUUUCAUACAAAACUAGCUAAGCGAUUGAAACACAGUAGCCAAAAGCAUCAAAGCUUCGACCCAGUAGCAUAUUGUGUGUGCGUGUUCAAGAGAGAGAAGAGAGGAAAUUAGAGAACCUUGAGCUACAAUAAUGGAUGAGUCUACCAGUUGCUAAAAAACAAUUAGGGCAGCCUCAGCAUCAGAAAGAGUUCUUGAGCCUUUUUUAAACCCCUCUUAUUCUCUUUGAAAAGUGACUUGGCGUGCCAUCAAGUUAUCAAUCUUCUUGAUCUGAAUCUUCUGUCUCAACAUCUUCACAGUACAAUCAUUGAGGAAAAAUAUUAGGGCUUGUUUGAUUCUAUUAUUUUCAAAAUUAGUUUUCUCUCUUCUUUUGGACAACACAUUCUUAAAUAAAAUAUUAUUUUUAUACGCAAAAACUUUUCCUUAUUUUUAUUCAUACAUUAUCCAUCAAUUCGCCAUUCCAAAAUAGAUUAUUUGCUAAAGAUGGGGAUCAAAUAUAUGUGUAUGUCAUUGGUACAAUAAGAAAUAUAUUGAGAUUGGGAGACGAGAAAGAACAUUGUACUUUGUUAAAAAUAAGCAAAAAAGAAACGAAGCAUAUUUUCACAGAAUCUGAAACCAAAAACCCAAAAAAAGGGAAAUCACAGUUAGAAAAAUCAUUCUUUUUUUUUUCUUUUUUUCCCCCCUUUUUUUUUUUUUUUUUUUUUAAAAAAAAAAAUUUUUUUUUUUUAUUUUUUUUUUUUUUUUUUUUUUUUUUUAAAUUUUUUUUUUUUUUUUUUUUUUUUCCCCCCUUUUUUUUUUUUUUUUUUGCAUAAAUAGAAAUCUUCGACGGUGUCACAUUUACUAGUUCAGGGAAGAGACGAAAACCUCCACGUGCAGAAGUGAAACCCUAGAGAGAGAAAGUAGAGAGCAUCUGAAAUGAGAAACCAAGCGAAGUGGCAGUGAAAGUAUCAAUAAAGUUGGUUUGCAAAUUGCCAACGCAUGGAGAGGGGGAGAGAGGCGUAGGUUUAGAGAAAUGAUUAAACUAGAUGUACAGAUGAUGAUGAUGUUACAGACCUUCUACAUGUCAUUGAAAUCGGGUCCACGUGGAACCCGAUGCAUUAAAAAAUGGUCAAAAAUAACAUCGACUCCACCCAUUGUGAAUGAUCUGUAAAACAUCUAUAAAAAUCUUCCCUGUAAGUGCAGCUCGAUCGUUAAAGAAAUUAUCUUUACUGGACGUUGGUUUUGUCGAACCGUAAAACUUGGCACACCACUGGAUACGGUUCUUCCAAUGAUACUUUACACUAAUUAAUUUAUUUUAUUUGUACAUUACUAAUUAUACUAUAAUUAAUUUAAGCUUGUAAUUAUUUUAACAGUUGUCAACUAAUAUUAAAUUCAACUGAAUUGUACUAUUUGUACCCACUUUUAUCUUAAAUAAAAUAAUAUAAAAUCCGCUCCGAGAAUAAUCAAAAUAAAUAAAACCUAAAUAUGUAUGUACUAAAUCCCUGUUUGUCUACCAUUAAAAUAGAAGAAAGAGUUUCAAAAAGUGAGUUUUUUAAGGAUGUAUGUUUAAAAAUGCGAAAAAAAUUUAAUUUACGUACAAAAUAUUGAAAAUGAAUAUAAGAAAAAAAAAGCUCUGAAAUAUUGAUAGACAAACACAAGCAAAGUUCUUUAGUAAUUGGACAAGGCUAAGGAAUCUGGAUGUAUUAGCAAUUGCGUCUAAACCAUGAUAUCGAUGAAAAAUAAAUCCAAAAAUGCUAUAAAUGUCAAUUAAUCAGAAAUGACUUUUUUUUUUUUUUUUUUAUCAAAAUAACAUUUCCAAUUGACAAUAUAAAAUGUCAAUUUAACAUAUUUUUUUUUAAAUCGCCCAACUGACCAUAGUCAAAUUUCAGUUCAUCCCUGUUCAAAAAUCAGAACAACAUUGUCUUCGAUUUCAUGUGUUAAGAAAUCAAAAUUUCACUUUUAUGUACCUCGUAUAAUUUCCUUGGAUAGUAUGAUUUCAUCAUAAAUAUAUAGCACAAGCAAAUUCAAAACAAGAUUUAAAUGUUCUGAAGCCACGUAAAUCCACAACAUUGGCCCCUAACACUCAACUCACUUACACAACAAUUUAUAAUUAUAUCCAAUUAUGAAAAAUAGACAAUUAUCCUUCUGGGCUGUGGUCUCCUGGCAUCAUCUUCAGUUGGAGAAAGGUAAGCUGCCAAAAUUAACAUAAGCAUACGGUCAAAAAGAUCUGAGACUACAGCCUACUAAGACAAUACUUUUUUGUGUAAAUUUGAAUUAGGUCACAUGAAUUUAAUGAAAAUCAAGUACCCCAGCCGGAGGGAAGUAUCAGAGCCAUGAGAAUUGGUGAUACACUCGGAUGAAUUGCUUUGCUCAAUAGCAUUUCCAGUACCUUCAGAUUUCUGCAUAAACAGCUCACUUUAUGACUUGAGAAUGCGAAAUUUACUACUGAAUUCCAAUGCAUGAAUGCAGUAUGAGAAAUGAUAUAUAAUUUUGGAAAAUAAAGGAUCAACUCUCACUUCUGCUUGCUGUUUCAACUUAGCAUUUUCUUCCAUUAAUUUAGAUUCCUGCAUAUCAGGAAAGUUAACUAAUUAGCCCAAGCAUUUAGUUGUUGAUUUUAUCAUUUUACGGUAUUUAUCUCUUAACAAGGAGCAGCAUGAUUAUAUUUUUCAUUAAAGGAUUAAGUUUGAGGUCUUGCCUUUUUCAUGAGCAUAUUUAUCUCUUUAAAAAACUUGUCAUUCUUCCACGGAAAGACAGAGAUGUUAGCACAAAAAAUCUAAACAGGAAACACUGGAAAACACGGAAUUGUAUGUAAACCUUUGUUUCCACGACAUGAUUUAGCACUCCAUGUACUCUUUUCUCUAGUUUGAUCAACUCAUCCAUGUCAAGUCCUUGGAGCUCUUCUCCCUUGAGUUGCCUAUCAUAAUUACAAUUAUUUCUCAACUGUGCAAUGCACUUGAAUAUGCGUAACAGAAAACCUUUAAUUCACAGCCAUAUUUUACCUUAAUUCACGAGUCUUCUCCUCUAGCAUCUUGCUGAGCAAGCCAUAGUUAUCAUUUUCCUGAGAAGAAAAUGCAAAUAGAGUUAUUCAAAUAUCACAUAUAACGUAGCAUUUUCGUGUUUUUGACAUUAUAUUGUUGAAAUAUAAUCUUCAUUUAUAUAGUCAAGUUCAUCAUUUAUUUAGUUAAGUUCAGUCAUGUCUUUUGGGAUUAUUCAUGUACUUGGAAAAUAUAUGAAUUAUUUUCAUGAUUUGUUUGCCUAUAAUAACUAGUACAUGUAUUAAGAUUAAAUUCAUGUUUUGUGAAACCUAUAAAAUAUCAGUGAAUGUACUUAUUGAAAAUAAGUUAUUUUGGAGUGUUAACAUAUAAAGUUGAGUAUUCACUUGAAUAUUGUCGUCUUCUAAAAGUUGCUCCAUAAGUCAUUUUGGAGAGUUAAGAAAUAAAGAGAAUAUUAUUUUUUCAUCUUUUAAAAGUUAUUCCAUCUCCAUGUUUCCAACAAAAGUGGCAUUAGAGCGAUGUAUUAGAUUGUGGAAAUAAGAGAUGACAAACAAUAAUUAUCUUUCCAAUCCUCAACUCACUGAUGAUAAUUUGAAACUUAAAAUGAAGAAGACAUGUCUUAAAGACAAACAGAUUUGCAACAUGUAACUAAGAUGAACAAUCAAAAGGCUCGUAGCACGAUCCAUCAAGAUCUUGAUAAUACAAUUUUUCAUAAGGUGUAAAAUGCUACCAUUCAAAGCAAGCAUGCGGGAUUUUUCAAAAGACAUACAAAUGUGCAAACAAAAUUAAAAAAGUUCGUUUCAAUCUUUGAAAGGAUAACAUGAAGCUCUAUCCAUCAAA